GCUAACGUAGCUUAAACAAAGCGUAAUACUGAAGAUAUUAAGAUGAACCCUGAAAAGUUUCGUAAGCA
rnacentral:tRNA from 1 species